AUUGAGGUAUACAACAUGUUCUUCUCUUGUUUAGGUUGCUAAGGUAGAAUAUUCAACAUUUUACAUAUCUGGAUAUUAUAUGUAAUUAUUGUGAAUUAAAAACACUUGGUUUAAAUUCGAUAAAAGAUAGCAAUGACUCAGUCCGAAAAGUUCUGCAAGCCAUGUUCAAGAAGUGGAAGGUCAUCCGUUGCUGUAAAACACUGUCAUGACUGUGCAGAAACGUUGUGUUCGGAUUGCUUCCAAGUCCAUGAUACGUUCAAACCUCUUCUCACUCACCACGUUACUGACCUUGGUGAUACUGGUGUACAUGCGUCUUUGAGAAGUAAAUUAUGUACAGAACAUCCGGGUUCUAAAGUGGAAUAUUACUGUAACUCGCAUGCGUGUCUUUGCUGCAAGUCAUGCAUAGGAGUUGGACAUAACAUUUGUGGCAAAGUAAAGCCGAUCGAUAUUGCUUCAAAAGACGUGAAAAAAUCAGCAGAGUUUAAUGAUUUUGUAAAGUCAAUUGGCAUCAUGAGGAAAACGGUAAGCCAGCUAAAGGAGAAAACGCACCAAAAUAAAGAAGAUCUUUGUGACAACAAGGCUAAAAUCAAGAAACGGAUUCGAAAAUACAAAUCAAACGUUCUCAAACACAUUGAUAAUAUCGAAACAGAACUGAUAGCGGAAGUAGACUCCGUGUUUUCAUCUUUAAUAUCGAAAGCCGAGAAUGAGGUAAAUAUAAUUGAUCAACAAGCAGAGCACGUUAACGAAAUGUGCAAUCAGUAUGAAUUUCUUGAAAAGAAUGGAACAGAAAGCGAUCUAUUUGUAGUUCUAAAUUCUAAUUCGAAAAGUAUUGCGAAAAGUCUAGAGGCUCUCAAAGUAGCUUUGAAAUCACGUGAACAAACGGAAGUCUCCUUUCAAAAGUCAAAUUUGCUGUCUGUAAUUAACUCCCUUGGAACAAUAACCGUUGAUACUAUAAAUGAAGAUGGUUGUAUAUAAAUGAAAGUGGUUUUGCCACCGACACUGUUAGAAAGCGCCGUCAAAACUACAUGCCUACGAGAUUUAAGUUGGAUAAAACAUUUAUGGUAAGUGACAACAAUGACGACAUUGAAGUAACCGGGAUUGGAGUAACACGAAAUGACAGUUUAAUUCUCUGUAACAAGCAUAGUGCCAAGUUGAUGAUUUAUUCAAGUAAAAUUCAGUAUCUCUGCGAACUACCACUUGCAGGAAAGCCAUGGGAUAUAACCGUCGUACCGGAUUCGGACGAAGCAUGGGUUACAAUCCCGGAAAGCAGCUGUAUUCAGCAUGUAGAUGCAGAUUCCUCAAAUGUCGAUCCACCAAUUAAAGUUCCUAAGUGUUAUGGAAUAACUUUGGUAGAAGAUAAUAUUGCAUUGGGGCGAUGGGGCGAGGUUGUCAUUGUUAACAAGGACGGGAUUCGUGUCAAACAACUGGAAUUUGGAAAGGGAAUAAUACACAGCCUCUCUUCUGGUAUCAAUGGGACAAUCUACUGCUGUGAGAGUGAAGAUGGGAUGUUCCGAUGUAUCAGACUCCUAGAUGGAAAAGUCAUGUUUACGUAUAAUUCCGAGGAUUUUCGAUGGCCAGUUAACAUGGCGACUGACGUGCAGGAUAAUAUAUAUCUGCUCGAAAUGAAGUCGCAUAACCUUCAUCGCCUGCUACCAAAAGGAACGUUUCAUAAAGAAAUGUUGACGGCGAGUGACGAACUAAACUUCCCACGAUGCAUUGCGUUUAAUAAAAACUAUUCGAAAUUGUACAUAUCAAAUGAUCUGGGAAAAUCUAUUUCUGUUUUCUCUUGUAAAUAUAUUUGAAAUUUUUCUCAGCAAGAUCUUUAAAUAAAUGUUGUGAAAUAAUCA